UGCAACCUGAACUCAGAUGUGAUUACCCGCUGAACUUAAGCAUAUCUGUAG
rnacentral:rRNA from 1 species